AUGGCGGAAUCCGCGGUGGCCUCGGUGGUGCGAGCGUUCGGCACGCUGGCCGCCAAGGAGGCCGCCUUCCUCCGCGGCGUUAACGCCGACGCCGACCUCCUCAGGGCCGAGCUCCGCCGCAUGCAGUGCUUCCUUCGCGACGCCGACGCCAAGCGCCGCGCCGGGGGGCGCGACAGCGAGCGCCUCAAGAACUGGGUCGUGGACGUGCGCGAUGCGGCGUACGACGCGGGGAACGCGCUCGAGGAGGCCGACUUCCUCGCGCGCCACCGCCACAUGCGGCGCGGGUUCUUGGGCGCCCUACCAUGGCUCGCCAAUCUCGCCGCGCUUCACACGUUCGGCGUGAAGAUUAGGCGCGUCCGGGCCAGGAUCCGUCAGAUCUCCGACAGCGCCGUGGCCUACGGGAUCACGGACCUCGGGGAGGCCAGCGCCUUGGCUGAUGUCGAGGAGCAAGAGGUGACGCCUUAUGACCUCAGCUGGAACAGUGCAGAUAGUGAUUUUUUUGUUGGGUUCCACGAGGAGAGGGAUGCUAUAUUCAAGGAGUUGUUGGAUCCUGAGAUUUCGCCGAUUUGCGUCGUCUCCAUAGUUGGGAUGGCUGGAUCGGGCAAGUCCACCCUCGCAAGGAAAGUUUACAACGACCCACGGAGCAGUGAUGGUGGGGCAAUCAGUGGUGGCAAGUGGAAGCAAAUGACCAGUGAAAAAUUGGAAAGUAUGGGCGAGGAAGAUGUCAAGGAACUUCUGAGCGAUUUCCUGGCUCAAAGAAAAUUUCUUGUAGUAUUGGAUGAUGUUUGGAAGAGUAGUUCUUACGAUAAGAUAAGUAAGAUCCUCAGUGUCUUGCCGGAUGUGAACAAUGGUAGUAGGAUCGUUUUGACCACCCGAGAUAUGGAUGUCGCAAGGCAUGUCAACAGGAGAAGCAGCAUUCAUGAGAAGAAGCUUUUGGAUGAGAAGGAGAGCUGGGAGUUGCUUGAGAAGUGGUCCUUUCCGGAGUACCGAGAUGUAAGCAGUGCUGAUCGAUCACGGUUGAUGGAGAUAGGGAAGAAAUUGGCAGUGAAAUGCAAAGGGUUGCCGCUUGCUCUUGUGGUCUUGGGAGGUUAUCUUUCUAGGAACUUGGACUAUGACAUUUGGUCAGGAUUGGUUGGUAAUCUAGACUGGGAAGCUCGCAGGAAUGAUGAGCCAUUCUGGAAGAUCAUAGAUAGAAGUUACAAUGACCUCCCAAACCAUCAAUUGAAAUCAUGCUUUCUUUAUCUAGCCUCCUUUCCAGAAGACUAUGUCAUCCGUGUAGCAAGACUUUGCAAGUUGUUGAUUGCUGAAGGACUUAUUCCACAUCGGCAGAAUCGGACAAUGGAAGAUACAGCCAGAGAGUACAUAAAGGAGUUGGUACAGAGGUGUAUGCUCCAAGCCGUUGAAAGGAGCAAGUGGCAUGGCUCGAUAAAGAGUGUGGUUCUCCAUGACGUGAUUCGUGAAUGGGCUAUUGCAGAGGCAAGGAGGGAGGGGCUGUUCAACAUAUGGAGCAAUCCGACAGAUUGCGAUCAGGCACUCUCUGAUUCAGUAACGGCUUACCGAGUUGCUCUCCAUAACUUUGCUGGACGUACUGAGAUUAAUGUGGCCAUGCCCAAGUUGCGGACCUUGUUGGUGUUUUUCAAUUUACCGGCAGUAUCUGUACUGUGCAGGCUGAAAUUUCUCAGAGUGCUUGAUCUUCACGGCCUAACAGUCAAGGAACGACGAUUGGCUGAAAAUGGAAACAAACACAUUGCUCGCAGAAACGUGAAAAAAUGGGCAGCCUUAUUCAGAGCUUUGGAGGGAAUGGAGCAGCUCGUGUUCUUACACUUGGAGAGUUGGAGAACACAAAGGCGCACCAAAUGGCGAGGGCGGGUCUUCUCCACACAACUCUUCGGCAGCAUUUCGCGCCAUAGGCAUCUUCAAGUGCUAGAGCUCGCCGGAGACUGGCUGUGCGGGGUUGGCCAGCUAAGCAAGCUCCCUCAUUGCCUCAAGAAGCUCAAGCUGAUAGCGUCUGAAGAACUGAGUAAAGACCCGAUGCCUGUGCUGGGCAUCCAUCCGAAUCUGGUGGUGCUUGUCUUGGAGAGCGCUUUCAAAGGGAACGGCAUGAUAUGCCAUGCAGAAGGGUUUCCUAGACUGCGCCACCUGACAUUUGAACACGUCGGGCGUCUCGGGUCUUGGAAUGUCGAAGCUGGGGCAUUUCCUUCACUAACCCAUCUGAAUCUUAGUGUAUCGAGCUUCCCCGUUGUCCCUCCUCUUGGCCUGUUUCAUGUGACUUCGCUGCAGACGUUGCUGUUGAAACAGCACCCUAUGGACGAGAGCAGUAUUUGCUUAAGUACUGUUGGCAAACUAGAGGAGAGGGGGUGCGAGGUCAUCAUCAAACGGUUGGGUUAA
rnacentral:rRNA from 1 species